GACGAACGCUGGCGGCGUGCUUAACACAUGCAAGUCGAACGAUGAAGCAAAGAAUUGCAGCUUCGGCAGAAAUUCAUUUCGGAUUAGUGGCAGACGGGUGAGUAACGCGUGAGCAACCUACCUCUUACAAAGGGAUAGCCUCGGGAAACCGGGAUUAAUACCAUAUAACAUUGCGACGAAGCAUUUCGAUGCAAUCAAAGCUACGGCGGUAAGAGAUGGGCUCGCGCCCCAUUAACCAGAUGGUGAGGUAACGGCUCACCAUAGUAACGAUGGGUAACCGGCCUGAGAGGGUGAACGGUCACACUGGAACUGAGACACGGUCCAGACUCCUACGGGAGGCAGCAGUGGGGAAUAUUGCACAAUGGAGGGAACUCUGAUGCAGCGACGCCGCGUGAGUGAUGAAGGAAUUCGUUUCGUAAAACUCUGUUCUAUGGGAAGAAAAGGACUGUACCAUAGGAGAAAGCUCCGGCUAAAUACGUG
rnacentral:rRNA from 1 species